rnacentral:rRNA from 1 species
GACGAACCGUGCGAACGUUGUUCGGAUUCACUGGGCAUAAAGGGCGCGUAGGCGGAUGGUCAAGUCGGGGGUGAAAUCUUUCAGCUUAACUGGAAAAGUGCCUCCGGAUACUGAUCGUCUCGGAGGGAGGUAGGGGCAUGUGGAACUUCCGGUGGAGCGGUGAAUGCGUAGAUAUCGGAAGGAACGCCGGUGGCGAAAGCGACGUGCUGGACCUCUUCUGACGCUGAGGCGCGAAAGCUAGGGGAGCAAACGGG